rnacentral:rRNA from 1 species
UUACCCAAUCCCGGUUCGGGGAGGUAGUGACGAAAAAUAACGAUGCGGGACUCUAUCGAGUUCCCGUAAUUGGAAUGAGUACACUGUAAACCUUUUAACGAGGAUCAAUUGGAGGGCAAGUCUAGUGCCAGCAGCCGCGGUAAUUCUAGCUCCAAUAGCGUAUAUUAAAGUUGUUGCGGUUAAAAAGCUCGUAGUUGGAUCUCNGUCGAGGCCCGUCGAUCCUUCUUGGAAGGUUAUUGACGGGGCCGGCAUGACGUCGGUCGUCGUCGCUGGCCUUNNCUGGCUGGUGGCGUUGUCCGGCAAUUUUACUUUGAAAAAAUUAGAGUGCUCAAAGCAGGCCGACGCCUGGAUAAUGGUGCAUGGAAUAAUGGAAUAGGACCUCGGUUCUAUUUUGUUGGUUUUCGGAACCCGAGGUAAUGAUAAAGAGGGACAGACGGGGGCAUUUGUACUGCGAGUAUAGAGGUGAAAUUCUUGGAUCCUCGCAAGACAAACUACUGCGAAAGCAUUUGCCAAGAAUGUUUUCAUUAAUCAAGAACGAAAGUUAGAGGUUCGAAGGCGAUCAGAUACCGCCCUAGUUCUAACCAUAAACGAUGCCACCUAGCAAUCCGCCCGAGUUCCUCAUACGACUCGGCGGGCAGCUUCCGGGAAACCAAAGCUUGUGGGCUCCGGGGGAAGUAUGGUUGCAAAGCUGAAACUUAAAGGAAUUGACGGAAGGGCACCACCAGGAGUGGAGCCUGCGGCUUAAUUUGACUCAACACGGGGAAACUUACCCGGCCCGGAUACCGGAAGGAUUGACAGAUUAAGAGCUCUUUCUUGAUUCGGUAAGGAGUGGUGCAUGGCCGUUCUUAGUUGGUGGAGUGAUUUGUCUGGUUAAUUCCGAUAACGAACGAGACUCUAGCCUACUAAAUAGGCGUUCCAUCUUGCGUUGUGGAGCGCUCUUCUUAGAGGGACGGGCGGCUUUCAGCCGCAUGAGAAAGAGCAAUAACAGGUCUGUGAUGCCCUUAGAUGUCCGGGGCCGCACGCGCGCUACAAUGAAGGACUCAGCGUGUCUUUACCUAUUCCGAAAGGACGGGGUAAUCCGUUGAAACUCCUUCGUGAUUGGGAUAGGGGCUUGUAACUGUUCCCCUUGAACGAGGAAUUCCCAGUAAGCGCGAGUCAUCAGCUCGCGUUGAUUACGUCCCUGCCCUUUGUACACACCGCCCGUCGCUACUACCGAUUGAGUUAUCUCAACCUAUAACAAUUUU